rnacentral:lncRNA from 1 species
GCACAGAGAGGCCCGGCACACAUACUGGAAGACAGCAUUGGUCCAACAACUGGUCAGUGACAGAGGAGAGGGAGCAACAUUAAAGCAUAUGAAAUAAAUGCGAGCAGCAGCAACGAAUGAAGAAGUAACCGUGUCCCAGGCAGCUGCUGACACGCACAGGAGCGCAGGCUGCUGGAGAUUUUCACUGCCAGGGAUCUGGCAGCAAUCACACUAAAUGUUGUGAGCUGUUGACAGCUGAAGAUGAGCAGCUUAGGCAGAAGGAGAAAUCCUCUGGACUUACAUCUCUUCACAGCAAUGCAAUCAUAUUCAACAGUGGGCCUAAAUAGAAGAGCCAAGCACCAGGUCUUUCAAGAUAGCAUCCUAAAUGAAACUUGAGAUACCAUUCCAUGAAAGGCUUCAAGAUCUUUGGGAUAAACAGUAUUCUUUAGGCUAUAAAUACUUAUUUUCCUAUAUGAAAAACUACAUGCAUUGUUUGCCCUGUCAGAAAUGUUUUUGUGGCAACUCCUGGACUGCCUUUCCUAAUGGUGUAGAAAAAUAAAAAUAAAAAAUAAAAAUAAAAAAUGGUUUAUCUGGUUUAAAUUGCAAUCUGUCUCUCACCUCAAGUAGUCAAAAAUGUUUUCUCCACCCUACACAGGUCUGCAGCAGAAUUUGAAUGUGAACUGCACCAUAGUUUUCAGCCUUAAGACCUAAGGUGCAGGCCAGGAUAUUUGGAUUUACACCUGACUUCUGCAUGAGAAGCUCACUGCCUAAACCAAGGAUGGGGGAACCAGUCUCCUGGGGCUCUGCAGAAUGGAGGUGAAUGGUCCUACCUGCAUCCCAUACAUCUCUGUGCCCUAGGGGAGACAAGACCAGGGCAGGUGGACACAGGACUGAGUAAUUCACAUUCACCACAGAAAGGUGAUCUGGCUGAAACUGAUGGGUCAGUGUCAGUUACAGAGCACCUGAAACUCAGUACAGGGAGCUGUCCUUUCUCUGGCAGCCGUGCUUGCAGUCAGCACAUGAUCCACUUCGUAGCCAGCUCCUGCCCAGCACCUACCAGUGAUCUGGUGUUUGUCUCAGCUGGUUCUGCUGUGCGAGAAGACAGAGUGGGAUGUCACAGACUGGCUCAUUCCAUCUGUGGCCUUUCUGCUGCCAUCAGCAGCAGGGCUGUGCAUGUCUGUCUGAUCUAGCCUUCUACAAGGAAGAGACAUGAAUCUUUUCAGGAGACUGUGGAUUGGUGUCACUGCAGAAAACAGUUAAACACAUGGACAGAGCUUCUUUGAGGAACAUUUUAUUUCCAGUUAUGUACAUGAAAGAUGUUUUAUAAGAAAGUUGCUGUAGUCACAGCCUAGCAAACCAAACUUAUUAAUUAACUGCACUCUGCACCACUUGCACUUAGCUACGUGCCCUGGCUGACAACACAGCAUUCAGUGCUGGUUUGCAAACAAAUUUAAAUAUUCAGCGCACAGCUUCUGGGAAAGAGGCCAUCUUUCUUCAUGCUGUAGUUUUGGGAUGUAACAUUUAUUAGUGACUUAUGUUUAUUUCUACUGGCUUUGUGAUGCCAGGAGAGUUAGCAGCAUUUUGCAUCCUCUAAAUACAUGUAUAGGAAUGGGGAAGAGAAACAUGAGGGAUGUAGCAGGGGGAGGAAUGUGAAGAGAUGCCUGUGCGAUGAUGGUUGGCAGCACAGCUCUGCGGUCUAGAAAAACAAAUUCUGUUUUGUAGUAAACAUAAAGGUUUUAAAUUCUCUGUAUUGGAAUGGAAAUUAUCUCUACUGAAAAAGUUAAAAAAAUUAAUAAAAACAAAGUCCAUACCA